CCAGACUCCUACGGGAGGCAGCAGUGGGGAAUAUUGGGCAAUGGGCGCAAGCCUGACCCAGCAACGCCGCGUGAAGGAAGAAGGCUUUCGGGUUGUAAACUUCUUUUACCAGGGACGAAGAGAGUGACGGUACCUGGAGAAUAAGCCACGGCUAACUACGUGCCAGCAGCCGCGGUAAUACGUAGGUGGCGAGCGUUGUCCGGAUUUACUGGGUGUAAAGGGCGCGUAGGCGGGAAUGCAAGUCAGAUGUGAAAUCCAUGGGCUUAACCCAUGAACUGCAUUUGAAACUGUAUUUCUUGAGUGUCGGAGAGGUAGACGGAGUUCCUAGUGUAGCGGUGAAAUGCGUAGAUAUCGCGCAGAACUCCGAUUGCGAAGGCAGCAUGCCGGCUCCACACUGACGCUGAGGCACGAAAGCGUGGGUAUCGAACAGGAUUAGAUACCCGCGUAC
rnacentral:rRNA from 1 species